rnacentral:rRNA from 1 species
AAUAUUGGAUAAUGGGGGGAACCCUGAUCCAGCCAUGCCGCGUGUGUGAAGAAGUUCUNAGGAUUNUNAAGCACCGUAAGUUGGGNGGACGAGCUGUAGGCUAAUACCUUGCAUUUUUUACGUUUCCAUCAGAAUAAGCACCGGCUAAAUUCGUGCCAGCAGCCGCGGUAAUACGAAGAGUGCAAGCGUUAAUCGGAAUUACUGGGAGUAAAGCGCGCGUAGGUGGUUCGUUAAGUUGGAAGUGAAAGCCCCGGGCUUAACCUGGGAAUUGCUUUCAAAACUGACGAGCUAGAGUACGGUAGAGGGUAGUGGAAUUUCCUGUGUAGCGGUGAAAUGCGUAGAUAUAGGAAGGAACAUCAGUGGCGAAGGCGACUACCUGGACUGAUACUGACACUGAGGUGCGAAAGCGUGGGGAGCAAACAGG